rnacentral:rRNA from 1 species
AGAGCGAACGCUGGCGGCAGGCUUAACACAUGCAAGUCGAGCGGGCGUAGCAAUACGUCAGCGGCAGACGGGUGAGUAACGCGUGGGAACGUACCUUUUGGUUCGGAACAACACAGGGAAACUUGUGCUAAUACCGGAUAAGCCCUUACGGGGAAAGAUUUAUCGCCAAAAGAUCGGCCCGCGUCUGAUUAGCUAGUUGGUGAGGUAACGGCUCACCAAGGCGACGAUCAGUAGCUGGUCUGAGAGGAUGAUCAGCCACAUUGGGACUGAGACACGGCCCAAACUCCUACGGGAGGCAGCAGUGGGGAAUAUUGGACAAUGGGCGCAAGCCUGAUCCAGCCAUGCCGCGUGAGUGAUGAAGGCCCUAGGGUUGUAAAGCUCUUUUGUGCGGGAAGAUAAUGACGGUACCGCAAGAAUAACGCCCCGGCUAACCUUCGCGCCAGCAGCCGC